rnacentral:rRNA from 1 species
UACAGAGGGGCAAGCGUUGUUCGGAAUUACUGGGCGUAAAGGGCGCGUAGGCGGCCUUCUAAGUCGAACGUGAAAUCCCCGGGCUCAACCCGGGAACUGCGUCCGAUACUGGAAGGCUUGAAUCCGGGAGAGGGAUGCGGAAUUCCAGGUGUAGCGGUGAAAUGCGUAGAUAUCUGGAGGAACACCGGUGGCGAAGGCGGCAUCCGUGGACCGG